rnacentral:rRNA from 1 species
GGUUAAGUGACUAAGCGUACACGGUGGAUGCCUUGGCAGUCAGAGGCGAUGAAGGACGUAGUAACUUGCGAUAAGCUCAGAUUAGGCAGUAACAGCCACUUGAGUCUGAGAUUUCCGAAUGGGGAAACCCAACUGCAUAAGCAGUUACUGUUAACUGAAUACAUAGGUUAACAGAGCGAACCGGGGGAACUGAAACAUCUAAGUACCCCGAGGAGAAGAAAUCAACCGAGAUUCCGAUAGUAGCGGCGAGCGAAAUUGGAUUAGCCCUUAAGCUUUACAUGCGUCAGGUGAAGGUUCUGGAAAGGACCGCGAAACAGGGUGAUAGCCCCGUAGCCGACAGCGCAUGUUCAGUGAAAUCGAGUAGGGCGGGACACGUGUUAUCCUGUCUGAAUAUGGGGGGACCAUCCUCCAAGGCUAAAUACUCCUGACUGACCGAUAGUGAACCAGUACCGUGAGGGAAAGGCGAAAAGAACCCCUGUGAGGGGAGUGAAAUAGAACCUGAAACCGUGUACGUACAAGCAGUAGGAGCCUCUUCGUGGGGUGACUGCGUACCUUUUGUAUAAUGGGUCAGCGACUUAUAUUCAGUGGCAAGGUUAACCAUUUAGGGGAGCCGUAGGGAAACCGAGUCUUAACUGGGCGUUCAGUCUCUGGAUAUAGACCCGAAACCGGGUGAUCUAGCCAUGGGCAGGUUGAAGGUUGAGUAACAUCAACUGGAGGACCGAACCGACUAAUGUUGAAAAAUUAGCGGAUGACUUGUGGCUAGGGGUGAAAGGCCAAUCAAACUCGGAGAUAGCUGGUUCUCCCCGAAAGCUAUUUAGGUAGCGCCUCGGACGAAUACUACUGGGGGUAGAGCACUGUUAAGGCUAGGGGGUCAUCCCGACUUACCAACCCUUUGCAAACUCCGAAUACCAGUAAGUACUAUCCGGGAGACACACGGCGGGUGCUAACGUCCGUCGUGGAGAGGGAAACAACCCAGACCGCCAGCUAAGGUCCCAAAUUACAGCUAAGUGGGAAACGAUGUGGGAAGGCUCAGACAGCUAGGAUGUUGGCUUAGAAGCAGCCAUCAUUUAAAGAAAGCGUAAUAGCUCACUAGUCGAGUCGGCCUGCGCGGAAGAUGUAACGGGGCUAAGCUGUAAACCGAAGCUGCGGCAAUGCGAUUUAUCGUAUUGGGUAGGGGAGCGUUCUGUAAGCCGUUGAAGGUGUGUUGUAAAGCAUGCUGGAGGUAUCAGAAGUGCGAAUGCUGACAUGAGUAACGACAAGGGGGGUGAAAAACCUCCCCGCCGGAAGACCAAGGGUUCCUGUCCAACGUUAAUCGGGGCAGGGUAAGUCGACCCCUAAGGCGAGGCCGAAAGGCGUAGUCGAUGGGAAACGGGUUAAUAUUCCCGUACUUCUUACAAUUGCGAUGGGGGGACGGAGAAGGCUAGGUGGGCCUGGCGACGGUUGUCCAGGUUCAAGUGCGUAGGCUUGAGG